AACGAACGCUGGCGGCAGGCUUAACACAUGCAAGUCGAGCGCGCCCUUCGGGGUGAGCGGCGGACGGGUUAGUAACGCGUGGGAACGUACCCUUUUCUAAGGAAUAGUCACUGGAAACGGUGGGUAAUACCUUAUACGCCCUUCGGGGGAAAGAUUUAUCGGUAAAGGAUCGGCCCGCGUUAGAUUAGAUAGUUGGUGGGGUAAUGGCCUACCAAGUCUACGAUCUAUAGCUGGUUUUAGAGGAUGAUCAGCAACACUGGGACUGAGACACGGCCCAGACUCCUACGGGAGGCAGCAGUGGGGAAUCUUAGACAAUGGGCGCAAGCCUGAUCUAGCCAUGCCGCGUGAGUGAAGAAGGUCUUAGGAUCGUAAAGCUCUUUCGCUGGGGAAGAUAAUGACUGUACCCAGUAAAGAAGUCCCGGCUAACUCCGUGCCAGCAGCCGCGGUAAUACGGAGGGGACUAGCGUUGUUCGGAAUUACUGGGCGUAAAGCGUGCGUAGGCGGAUCAGCAAGUUGGGGGUGAAAUCCCGGGGCUCAACCCCGGAACUGCCUCCAAAACUGUUGGUCUAGAGUUCGAGAGAGGUGAGUGGAAUUCCGAGUGUAGAGGUGAAAUUCGUAGAUAUUCGGAGGAACAUCAGUGGCGAAGGCGGCUCACUGGCUCGAUACUGACGCUGAGGUACGAAAGUGUGGGGAGCAAACAGG
rnacentral:rRNA from 1 species